rnacentral:rRNA from 1 species
GAGGUGCUUGCACCUUAUCUUAGCGGCGGACGGGUGAGUAAUGCUUAGGAAUCUGCCUAUUAGUGGGGGACAACAUUCCGAAAGGAAUGCUAAUACCGCAUACGUCCUACGGGAGAAAGCAGGGGAUCUUCGGACCUUGCGCUAAUAGAUGAGCCUAAGUCGGAUUAGCUAGUUGGUGGGGUAAAGGCCUACCAAGGCGACGAUCUGUAGCGGGUCUGAGAGGAUGAUCCGCCACACUGGGACUGAGACACGGCCCAGACUCCUACGGGAGGCAGCAGUGGGGAAUAUUGGACAAUGGGGGGAACCCUGAUCCAGCCAUGCCGCGUGUGUGAAGAAGGCCUUAUGGUUGUAAAGCACUUUAAGCGAGGAGGAGGCUACUGAGACUAAUACUCUUGGAUAGUGGACGUUACUCGCAGAAUAAGCACCGGCUAACUCUGUGCCAGCAGCCGCGGUAAUACAGAGGGUGCGAGCGUUAAUCGGAUUUACUGGGCGUAAAGCGUGCGUAGGCGGCUUUUUAAGUCGGAUGUGAAAUCCCCGAGCUUAACUUGGGAAUUGCAUUCGAUACUGGGAAGCUAGAGUAUGGGAGAGGAUGGUAGAAUUCCAGGUGUAGCGGUGAAAUGCGUAGAGAUCUGGAGGAAUACCGAUGGCGAAGGCAGCCAUCUGGCCUAAUACUGACGCUGGGUACGAAAGCAUGGGGAGCAAACAGGAUUAGAUACCCUGGUAGUCCAUGCCGUAAACGAUGUCUACUAGCCGUUGGGGCCUUUGAGGCUUUAGUGGCGCAGCUAACGCGAUAAGUAGACCGCCUGGGGAGUACGGUCGCAAGACUAAAACUCAAAUGAAUUGACGGGGGCC